GCGGGAGUGGAAGUUUUGUUACGUGUUGUUUUCUGUGGUUUUGUUUUUCCCUUGAAUGUUUAGCGGACAAAGAAGAAUAGCCGCCCGCUCUUUUAUCCAAGAUUAUGAAUGUUGUUACAACUGUAUGUUGACACUGGUAAUGUUACGUAAAUGCAACCGUCAAAGUGUUCUUUAACAAGCUGUGGUUUUCCACAGUCGGGAGGUUUGGUUUGCUGUUGGUGUGUUCUGAGAACAGAAGGAUGGAAGACCAGAUGGGAUGAGAGAACGAGAUGCAGGAAGACAAUGAUGUGCCACUGGUGGAACGUGUGUCUUAGGUGAGGACAGACACAGAGCAGAUUGCAGUCUGACACACACACACACACACACACACACACAGAUUCAGCAACAUUCACAAGCCCUAUGUGUUUGGUUUUCACACACUCCUACUCUCCACCACUGGGCCUUUCCAUAGCACAACUGUGUGUAACAGACUGUUAUACCUCGGCUGUGGAACGUCAGUGUAAUACCCACGGAAGUUCAUAUUCAAUGAUGUUGUGGUAUGUAGUUAGGGUGUGGGAGAAGGGGUGGAGGAGAAUCUGUGAGGAACGGGCAGGGAACAUUGAGGGCCGGGUGCUUAUCACCGUGUGCUACGAACAGAGGGGGGGGGAUGGAGGAGGUGCCAAGAGGGGUGCUGGAGGUUGAGGGGUAGAGGGAGGGACAAGAAUGUCUGUUUGUUUUUACUCGGAGGCCUCAUCAAGGAUUUUUAUGUCAUAUAGCCAAAAUAACAUGUUGUUUAUGUUCAUCGAGUUGUGUGUCUAGGUCUUAAAUUUCCAAGUUAAAAGUGAAUGGAACUGGUUACUGAACGUCCGCUCUUUUCAGAAUUGAUAAGGGAUUUUCAGAGUUGGUGGUAUUCACCAUUUUGUGACAGGCAGCUUUUGAGCUAGCUUUAACAUUCCUUCCUCCGUUCCUUUCUCCAACCCCCCCCCCUCUCUCUUUCUGUCUCUCGAUCUUUCUCUCUCUCUCUCCUCCUUAAUCUCUUCUUAAUCUGGUGUCACAUGAUUUCUAAUUGGUCAGAGUGGAGUCUAAUCUGUAACGUCUCUGAAUAUACACCCCUGAUCAUUAGUAAGCUAUUCAGACCAGUAUGUCUUAUUCCCAUUCCAACUCUCACCAUGAGGACCUGUAGCACUGGCAGGCUGGUACCCAAAACUAGUUGGACUUUACUGGGGUCAGAUGUGUGUUUGCAUGUUUCAGAUGUGUGUUUGCAUGUGUCCGAGUUCUUCAGGGUGCAUUGUGUUUGUGUGAGUGUGAGUCUUCUCUGUGAACCUGUGUGUGUGUUUGAGAAAAUAGACCAGUCUUAGAUUUAUAGGAGCUGGCUGAGACACAGAUGUGGGGCCAGCUAGGCUGGCUAAUCCCCACCUGUCUGUCUUCUCUAAAGGUUUCACCACUGACUCAACACUGUCUCCUGAUCUGUCCAGUCUGAAAAACCAGGCUGCGGCAUUUGGUGAGCCACAUGUGACCAGAAUUCCAGGGCCCCUACAUGGCCAAAAGAUGUGCCAUUUUGGAGCAGGAUGGUUAUCUGAAAGCAGAUUGGCCCAGAGGGAAGGAACCUAAUUGCCAGAAGUGGGUGAACGGAGGAUGAUGAUGGAUAAGGAUAGCGUCCCCUCCCCCGUGCUAACUAAGCAUUGACCUGACCAGCCUGAACAAUGGACUGAGGUCAGCUGCCUGCCUUGCGUCCAGGAAUACCCCUGACCUGGACAGCACUCAGCACCACUCUGCCCCAAUGUGAUAAAUCUGUCUGGAGACAUCCAAGUAGUCAUGUUAUAGCACAACACUGUUAGUUCAGAUGCUGUGUUAACCUGAUGUACUGUGCAAUAUUCCACAAAUAAUACAAAUAAUAUCAAAAGAAAGAAAAUAAUAUGAUUUGGUGGUGUUCAAGCACUCUCUGGACAACUGAAGCAGUAUUUCUUUGCGCCAAUUUGCUAGUCUCAGUUCUUAUGUACUGCGUGUGGCUUAACCGCCCUUCCACAGGUGCAGUUUUAUGUCUGGACACUUGUCUUUUUAGUUCCACCCCUUUUAACGUUCUCCCAACAAACGAACAUCUCCAGGCUCCCCCAUUUGACCUUUAACCCUGAGUCUGACUAUGCUGCGGAAAACAUCUGCCUGGACGGGUGUUUACACUCCACGUCAGUCAACUAUUGUUUGUCAAGUGUUGUUCAGGUAAGGCCAUGAGGGCAGGAAGAGUCGGACAUUGUGCCACGAUCUGAAAUAGACCUCCACUUGGCCGCUCCACUUGGUUUAUGUCCGUUGGGAGUGUUAUUAUUUCUGAAACGAUUCAUCAUUGUUCCUCGAUCCCGGCAACCUAAAUCAAUC